rnacentral:rRNA from 1 species
UAGCUAAUCCUGGUCGGACAUCAGGAGGUUAGUGCAAUGGCAUAAGCUAGCUUGACUGCGAGCGUGACGGCGCGAGCAGGUGCGAAAGCAGGUCAUAGUGAUCCGGUGGUUCUGAAUGGAAGGGCCAUCGCUCAACGGAUAAAAGGUACUCCGGGGAUAACAGGCUGAUACCGCCCAAGAGUUCAUAUCGACGGCGGUGUUUGGCACCUCGAUGUCGGCUCAUCACAUCCUGGGGCUGAAGUAGGUCCCAAGGGUAUGGCUGUUCGCCAUUUAAAGUGGUACGCGAGCUGGGUUUAGAACGUCGUGAGACAGUUCGGUCCCUAUCUGCCGUGGGCGCUGGAGAAUUGAGGGGGGCUGCUCCUAGUACGAGAGGACCGGAGUGGACGCAUCACUGGUGUUCGGGUUGUCAUGCCAAUGGCACUGCCCGGUAGCUA